UAUUAGGUAGCUUCAUUUGAAUAAAACCGUGUUGAGUCAAAUCUAACAGAUACAGUUAUAUUCUAUGAACUUCUAUUCUAAAAGCUGUUUUCAACCUUCAGGUCAUUUUUAGAGGCUAAACCAAGGAGAGUAAGUUUUGAUUACUCUGCUUAAAGAUGACAUUGCCCCUUAUUAGAAGUUAGGAUUUAAGGAGGGCACCUGAUGUGAUGAACACCAGGCAUUGUAUGGAAGUGUGGAAUCUCACUAUAUUGCUCACCUGAAACUAAUAAUACACUAUAUGUUAACUAACUGGAGUUUAAAUAAACACUAAAAAAAAAAAAAAAAAAAGAACGUAUACUUGGGAAAGACCAUUAUCUUUAAAAUAUAACAUUCAUAUUCAAUCACAAAUAAAUAUGCUGUAUAUGUAGUUUUAAUAAAUAGUCAUGCUGGAAAUAGUUUCUUAAAAAAAAAACAAAAAGAAGACACUAGAAUGGCAGUCUCACCACAUGUUACAUUACUGAAUACACAAGGAAGGUUGAAUUUAUAGCUGAAGGACUGCUUUCAGGUUUCUAAAUGAAGAAACAUUUUUAUUUUCUACUAUACAAUGCCUCAACAACUCUGGGUUUUCCCUUCAGUAUAUAUUAUUUCCUAUUUGACUUAUACACACUUGUACCUUCUCGAGGCAAUUGAUUAUUAUUGUUGCAUAUAACAUGAAAAGUACACGUUUUCCUUUGUCUACAGUUGGCCCCUCGUGGAAACACACACACACACACACACACACACACACACACACACACACAGGGGGGCACCUGGGUGGCUGUUGGUUAAGCAUCCAACUUUUGGUUUCGGCUCAGGUCACGAUCAAACUGUUUGUGGGUUCGAGCCCUGCAUCGAGCUCAGCGCUGACAGUGUGGAGCCUUCUUGGGAUUCCCUCUCUCCCUGGCUCUCUGCCCCUCGCCAACUUACACGCAUGCAUGCUCCUAAAUAGAUAAGUAAAUAAAUAUAUAUUUUUUUAAGAAGAUGCAUGUACCUUAAAUGCUACUGAAAAAAAAAAUGCUACUACAUGCCUUUUCAGUGGUGUUCCUCUCUGUCAAUUAGAACGUUCACUUCAGGAAACUGAAUUUGUAGCAAUCAUUUUAGAAAAGCCCAUUCUGAAUUUAGCUCCAAACAGCACACGAGAGAAGAGCUUAGGUGAUUGCUAAGGAAAUUAUUUAGAAACAUUUUUUAAAUUAAAAAUAAAAGUUUGAGGGUCCUAGGGGACUUCUAGUUCCAUCUGGCUUCAUCUAUAAACUGUCAUCACUGGAUGAGAUAAUCCAUUGUAAAGACUGUAAAAAUAGUUGUAAAAGAUAGUUAAAGAAUUAGAAAAACCAUCGGAGUUCUCUCACCACCAAAGGAAGCACAUUUGAGGAAAACAGACAAUUUUACCUGAAAACAAAAAGAAAUACGUUCAUUUAUAUAAGAUAGUAAUUUUAUGAAGAUUUUAGGGAAAACUUAAAGUGGGGAUAAUUAGUAAUAUGGAUCGAAACUGCUACGUCAAUGGAAAACCAAAAUAUCAUGUAAAAUUAGACAUUAACUGACUUCAAGGAAACACUUAAUAUUCUCGCCAUAUGAUCCCAUUAAGGGACUCCCAUGCCCAAAUCCCUGUGGCUAAAGGGCUGAUUUUAUGUUCACAUUUCCAGGACUCUGAUGAACGAUCAUUACUCCAAAUACAUGAAUGUGUAUUUAUUAAUUUUAAUGCUUUACUCCCUGCUUUCACAAGAGUGUAGGACCUCCGAGUUAUGAAUUUUGCUUCCAAAUGACCAUGCCAACUUGUUCCAAAGCUGUAGUGAUUGACACGGUUUGGGAUUAACACAGAGACAGAUAAUCAAUUUAACGGAAGAGAGAAUCUAGAAACAGUGCAGUCUUUUUAAGGCUAUCCAUGUGGAGGAAAAAAAAAUGAAUCCUCACUCCCUACUUUACAUCAUAAAAAAAAAAAUCAAUUCCAGUAGACUAAAGAGCUAAAUGUGAAAGGCAGAACAAUAAAGCUUCUGAAAGAAACCACAAGUAUCCUCAUAACCUUGAGCAAACAAAUAUCUCUUCAACAGGAAAGAGUAUGGACCCUAAAGGAAAGAACUGGUAAACCAGCCUUCACUAAAAUGCAAUGUCUGUUCAUCCAAAGAUACUAGUAGGAGAGUAAAAAGGUAACCACAGACUGUGAAAGAUGCCUGCCACCCCCACACCUGAGGGCUCCUAUCCAAAAUAUAGCUACAAAUCAAAAAGACAAGCCCAACAGGAAAAAAAAAAAAAAAAAAAAAAGGGCAAACUACUU